rnacentral:lncRNA from 1 species
CCCAACUAUAUUUCAUGCACUAUAUCAUGAUCCAGAUCAAUUAUAUUCCAUUAUUAUCAAUUAAAAAUAGAGAGUCAAAAUCCCUCACAAUAUACUGCCCCUGUUCCUUAGCUCUCUCCAUUUUCUCAUCUCCUCCACUCACACUUUCGAUCAUCUCUCUCUGCACUUCAUGUUCGCAACAGUAAGUAAAUCCUAACCGCUAUUCUUCCCUCUUCUUCUUCCCUUUCUCUUAAUUUCUCGCGAAUAAUCUGAAAAUCAGCCGUCCGACUACACCUCACCGUCGUUCCAAAUCGUCGACCCACAAUCCUCGCCUCGACCCGUAAAUCAGCAGUCAAUUGCAGACAACAACCCAAUUAACCCAGCCCCAACUCGCUCUAACUCAGCCAAGACUCGCCGUUCCCCAUCGUCUACCAUCCUUCUCCGAUAACCAGAAGCCAAGAAAGCCACCUCCGAUCAGCACCAUCAACACCAGAAACCUAGCCGCAGCUCACUCAAACUCUAGUCAAGACAUGAUUUUCUGUAAAACAGGGAGCACCCUUUCCUCUUUGAUUUCUCUUUGAUUUCUUAAAAUCAUUCAUUAUAAUUUGAUUUCUCUUUGACUUCUUAAAAUUAUACUCGUUUCAAGCUUUCGUGAUCACUAUAUAGUUCUAGGGUUAAUCAAAAAAAGUAAUCAUAAAAGCAGGUUUACGAAGAUAAGCUCACCUUUGGUUUUGUUGCUGUAAUGGCUUUUCAAGUGGGUUGAUUUUGAUCUGACUUUGCACCGAUCAUUUGAAGAAGAUUUGAUUUCUUGGAGUAGAAUUUCAAAAGAGAGAAACCAUAGAAAGUAGAAAGGGAGAAAAAGAAAGUUGAUC